rnacentral:rRNA from 1 species
CCUACGGGUGACAGCAGUGAGGAAUAUUGGUCAAUGGGCGCGAGCCUGAACCAGCCAAGUAGCGUGAAGGAUGACUGCCCUACGGGUUGUAAACUUCUUUUAUAAAGGAAUAAAGUGAGGCACGUGUGCCUUUUUGUAUGUACUUUAUGAAUAAGGAUCGGCUAACUCCGUGCCAGCAGCCGCGGUAAUACGGAGGAUCCGAGCGUUAUCCGGAUUUAUUGGUUUUAAAGGGAGCGUAGAUGGGUUGUUAAGUCAGUUGUGAAUGUUUGCGGCGCAACCGUAAAAUUGCAAUUGAUACUGGCAGGCUUGAGUACAGGUGAGGUAGGCGGAAUUCGUGGUGUAGCGGUGAAAUGCUUAGAUAUCACGAAGAACUACGAUUGCGAAGGCAGCUUACUAAGCUGCCACUGACAUUGAUGCUCGAAAGUGUGGGUAUCAAACAGGAUUAGAUACCCUAGUAGUC